rnacentral:rRNA from 1 species
CAACGAGUCGCAAGACCGCGAGGUUUAGCAAAUCUCUUAAAGCCGUUCUCAGUUCGGAUUGUAGGCUGCAACUCGCCUACAUGAAGUCGGAAUCGCUAGUAAUCGCGGAUCAGCAUGCCGCGGUGAAUACGUUCCCGGGCCUUGUACACACCGCCCGUCACACCAUGAGAGUUUGUAACACCCAAAGCCGGUGGGGUAACCUUUUGGAGCCAGCCGUCUAAGGUGGGACAGAUGAUUAGGGUGAAGUCGUAACAAGGUAAC